rnacentral:rRNA from 1 species
UACGGGGGGAGCAAGCGUUGUUCGGAUUUACUGGGCGUAAAGGGCGCGUAGGCGGUCGUGACAAGUCACUUGUGAAAUCUCCGGGCUUAACUCGGAACGGUCAAGUGAUACUGUCGGACUAGAGUACAGAAGGGGCAACUGGAAUUCUCGGUGUAGCGGUGAAAUGCGUAGAUAUCGAGAGGAACACCUGCGGCGAAGGCGGGUUGCUGGGCUGAUACUGACGCUGAGGAGCGAAAGCGUGGGGGAGCGAACAGG